rnacentral:rRNA from 1 species
UACGGAGGGUGCAAGCGUUAUCCGGAUUUACUGGGUUUAAAGGGUGCGUAGGCGGGCAGGUAAGUCAGUGGUGAAAUCUUCGAGCUUAACUCGGAAACUGCCUUUGAUACUAUCUGUCUUGAAUAUUGUGGAGGUAAGCGGAAUAUGUCAUGUAGCGGUGAAAUGCUUAGAUAUGACAUAGGACACCUAUUGCGAAGGCAGCUUACUACGCAUAUAUUGACGCUGAGGCACGAAAGCGUGGGGAUCAAACAGG